CCUACGGGAGACAGCAGUGGGGAAUAUUGCACAAUGGGGGAAACCCUGAUGCAGCGACGCCGCGUGAGUGAAGAAGUAUUUCGGUAUGUAAAGCUCUAUCAGCAGGGAAGAAGAAAGACGGUACCUGACUAAGAAGCCCCGGCUAACUACGUGCCAGCAGCCGCGGUAAUACGUAGGGGGCAAGCGUUAUCCGGAUUUACUGGGGGUAAAGGGAGCGUAGACGGCUGUGCAAGUCUGAAGUGAAAGCCCAGGGCUCAACCCGGGGACUGCAUUGGAAACUGUGGAGCUGGAGUGCUGGAGAGGUAAGUGGAAUUCCUAGUGUAGCGGUGAAAUGCGUAGAUAUUAGGAGGAACACCAGUGGCGAAGGCGGCUUACUGGACAGUAACUGACGUUGAGGCUCGAAAGCGUGGGGAGCAAACAGGAUUAGAUACCCUUGUAGUC
rnacentral:rRNA from 1 species